GUUUGUGUUUGUGUUUGUGUUUGUGUUUGUGUUUGUGUUUGUGUUUGUGUUUGUGUUUGUGUUUGCUCCACUCACCAGAGGAGAAGGACUUAUCAAGGAACUGUGAGUUUGUGAACACUUUGAAAUGUGAUGCCCCUCUGAGAGGGAGGGACUGUUUUGACGACAGUCCGGGAGAGACUUUGUUGUUUGUUCAGAAGACAGAAAGCAGGGUAGCUGCUCGGCCGUGAUACUGUAGGGAGGGACUUUGUGAAGACAUUCAGGCAGAAGCUCAAAGAAGAGCUUAGGCUUUUGAUUUGGUUGUGGUGUAUGCCACAGGGGGGAGGAUUUAGGGAGGGGGCCUGGUCACAAGAAGAUUCUGGGCCUUGGGCGACUGCUGAAGAACCUGCGGCCCAGGUCCUGCUGGAGCCUGGAGCAAUCCCUCUUAGGAAGAGGAUCUUUCGGUAUGGAUGGCUUUCAUGCGAGGACUGAUACCGAUGGAGUUGCACCAACAGGUUAUGGGAGAUUAUGUUAAUACCAAACCAGCAAUUUUGCUUCAAGGCACUGUUUCCACAGACAUGGAUAGAAAACCCUCCCUCGAUGCAAAGCUGUGGUGCACACUAGCGUUCACCAUGGCAGCCAGCCAUUCACCUGUCACUCACGGUGACUCAUGGCAACGUGUUCCGACAGGAAAUCUGCAUCAUCUGUGAGGACUUUUCAUCUAUGCCCAUAUCAGGUGGUUCAGGAUAUUUAAAGAUGGCUCUAACAUUGCUCAGGACUCUGUUAUAGAAUCAAGCCCCGUGUAAGUCUCUUGUUCUCUCUCUCCUUCUCUUGUUCGCUUGGGCCUUGCCAGCUUUGCCCUGACUUUCUCUUGGAUUGCUCUUGGUGCUUUGUACAGUUCUCCCCGGCUUUUAGUUUAUGCCACUGGACUGUUUUUCCCUGUAUGUUUGACCAUGUGCCCAGCCUGCUACAGCACCACGCCCUGGUUCUCUCAGCUCAGUCUUGCCCAGUGCAUGGGUUCACCGUACAAAACCAAACUGAUGCCCGUGCAACUUUUUAAAAUGAGGAAAAUUAUUAGUUAGGUGUAAGCUAUAAUGGUAUAAAUACUCUGUAUGUAAUUGGGAAUUGGAUAUAAAAUUGCAAACACCGUAAAUGUAGUAUAAACUACUUUAAUAUUAUUAUUCCUCUAAGCUAGUGCAAAACAAAGUUGAAUUAAUAUGAUUUUGUUGCCACAGAGCAUGGAAAACAAUUUAAAGAUUAAUAAUGGAUUUUCAUUCUGUGUGUUCUCAGAUUAUUUCUCAAGAGUAAUUUUCUUAAUUGUAGGUAUAUAUCUUUUCAUGAACUGUAUUUGCACACUUUAAUAGAUGUCCCCCAAAGUGGAAAUCUAGAACUGCUUUAUUGUUUAUUGGAUAUUAAAGAGUUCUUUAUUAUACUAGCCUGUACGUUAACAAUACUAUUUCUGUAGAUACAUUUAUGAAACUUUAAUAGAAGAGAAAAGUACUGUAUCUGGUUCCACUUACCCUUGAAACCACUCUUUUUCACUGGAACAUUCAGAAUUCACUGUUUUAAUUGCUUUAUUGUGGAUUGAAAUAACAGAAUAGUAAUAAAUGGUGGACUGACAUACAGUACAAGUGUUGAUGACCCUUUUAAACAGCAGAGGGCAAUGUAACAUAAAGAAUGUAGAGUAUGCAAAUCAUCACUGGACUCUGCACAAGAUUAAGACAUACAUAUCAUAGUCAGAGCUAUAUUUAUGCUCCUGAGACCUAUUUUAAUCAGACCUAUUUUAGGUGAUGCUGAAUAUAAGAUUUCCAUCGUUAAAUAGCUCUUCUGCAGUUGUUAAUAUUAUAAUAUCCCAAUAUAGAAGACUUAAAACCUUACACAUUAAAGAAAUGAAAUUUCACUCAAUUAAGUACUGAAGUUUGCCUUUUUCCUAUUUGUGUUGUGCUAUAUGACAGGUAUGAGUCACUUUGCUUUAGCUCUAUCAUCUGACUUUAAAAGCUUUUUUUAAAGUGUAAAAUUGCCUUUUGUAACUUUUGUAGCAGUUAAAAUUGUUUAACGUGAAAGCAUACAUGUAUGCAUGUUUCUGGGACCUACAUUAUUAAUUGCCAGGUUCUCACCUUUAAACAUCACAAUUGACUUUUCAAAACUGAGGUCCAAGACUAGUGAAAACAUAUGUUUAAAAGAGCAUCCUAUAAAUCAAAUAUAUGAGAUGUAUCUACCCUAGUAUUAUGUAUCAAACAUUGGAAUGUAAUUAUCCUUAACCACUUAGAAAUUGUUUUUCAA